GAAGCAGGCUCAUCUUCCCCUCUAAUAGGUGGGGACACACUAUCAUUGAUGGUUGGUAAAAAAAGGUUGAAAAUUAUCAUCAAUAAUUCUCAAUUGGUGUUCUUUUCCUCCAGGUGAUGGUCUUUAAAAGAUUGUUACUUGAGAAUCACAAAACGAAUAUUCUUUUUCUUCUCUUGGCCUGAAAUAUUGAGGGUUAAGGAGGAAAAUAAUUGGUCCUCUCUUCACAUAGCCUGAUAGAAUUUUGGCUGGGAAAAUAGGAAGAUGGGAAAUAGGAAGAUGCAGUUAGAGAAAUAACUGCCAAUGCCAAUAUUUAUGCCUAUUACUGAAAAAAACAAAACAAAACAAAAACUAAAACAAAAGAACUCUCAGUUAUCUACAUGUGCAUAUAAUGUGUUUUUGAAUGAAUCACCAAAACAUUGCAAUGAUUAAUUUGAACAUCUUUGCUUUGUCAUCUGUGAUUAAGGAUUUUUUUUUCAUUAGCAAACAAACAGCUGCUUUGCCUCAGGCAUAAAUCAGAAGAGGAAAACCAGCUUCUGGACCUGGAGAGAGGAUGAAAGGGAAUAGGAAUUGAGGGAAGCGGAAGGGAAGAAUAAGCGACCCCUGGAGAGUCCCUACCAAGCCAGACAUAACAAACAAAAGUCCUCUACUACUGAGGAAGACAGAACAGGGAAGCCAGCAGGGGAAGAAAAAGAUGAUGCUGCUCUUGAUGCCUCAAAAAUGGCAAGGAAGAACCCAGGCAACUGAUGUACACACCCUUGGAACAAAUCUGCCCCAGAAGUACAAGACACACUCUUCGAAUUCAUGGAAUAAAUGGGAGCUCCUGGCCACAGUGGGAGCCAUGAUCUCUCUCCUUUACAUGUGGCUGUAUUCCCAGAGCUUUCAUUUCCAUGUGGCACAUUUUUAUGCUCAUUUUGGGUACCCCAGUUCUCGGCAUAUUGUUAGGCAAAGAUACGUGAAAGGAGCUGGUGUAGUGAAGGAUGAAGAGAAGGCAAUGCAUUGGUUUAGGGAUGUAGAAAUGCUCCUUAAUGUUGCUGCAAAACGGGGGAUCCAAGAAGCCCAAGAACUUCUGGAGAAUGUUAUUUGGACUAAAAGCAAGCUCUUGCCAACUGAAAGAACCGGGAGUUCUUAUAAACCAUAAUGUGUGCCUGCAUGCUCUUCCUGGAACAUGGGAUGUUCUGCUCUCACUUGUCCACUGUGGCCUUGCAAUGCUUUGUGGCAUUUUCAGUGGAAGCUCCUUUUACUUAUAGUCUCAUAUGCUGCUGCAGCAUUAAUUUGCUGGUUAAAAUCCUUUAAAUGAAGUGUUACUUAUAUGUUUUCCUGGGAUCUGAGUUUGAUCUCUUCUGGAUAGAGGAAUAUUUUAUUUGGGUUUCAUUACUGCUCACUUCAGCUAAAGUUUCAUUCAAGCCAGUGAGCAUUCUAUAACGUGGUAAGUGGAAAAUAACGAAGAAACCUGUCACACCAGAGAUUGGCUUCUUGGAUGUGUUAGCUGGCACUCACAGAUCCACUGAAAGAGCUAAACUCAUCAUUAGCCUAAUCUAUGACAUGUGAUGUUCUGCCUAAAAUAAGCCUAUUUUCAUUUCUCUCCAUUUCAAUUUUCUGCUCUAUUAGGUUUCUAUAGUAUUUUAUUACACUCACUUUUUGUAUUACAGAAAGUCCUUUAUGGGGGUAAAAAGGCUGUUAUUGUUGUCAAUGAAAGGGAAAAGGAUAAAGUAUAAGACCUAACAAUUAUUGACCAUCUGCCACAUGCAAGAUAUUUUCUUAGCUGUUUAACAUAUAUAUAUAUAUAUAUAUAUAUAUAUAUAUAUUUGAGACUGAGUUUCGAUCUUGUUGCUCAGGCUGGAGUACAAUGGCAUGAUCUCUACUCACUGCAACCUCAGCCUCUCAGGUUCAGGAUGUUAUCCUGCCUCAGCCUCCUGAGUAGCUGGGAUUACAUGCAUGCACCAUCACAUCCGGCUAGUUUUUUCAUUUUUAGUAGAGACGGGGUUUCACCAUGUUGGUCAGGCUGGUCUUGAACUUCUGACCUCAGGUGAUCUACCUGCCCUGCCCUCCCAAAAUGCUGGGAUUACAGGAGUGAGCCACCACGUCUGGCCUGCUUAACAAAUAUUUUAACAUUCACUAGUUAUAAAAGUCUUAUAAGGUGGAUCUUAUAACUCCUGUUUUACAGAGUGAAAACAGGUGUAGAGAAGUUGUGAUAUGUGCAAAGUCACAGAGUGAGUGAUAGAGUGGGGUUUUUAGUGCUGGCAGUCUGAUUCUAGAGUCAACAUUCUUAACCAGUUCUACCAACAUUACUCUCCCAAGUCAUUAACAUCUCUUUCCUAACAACAAAGAUGUUCUAAGAACAGAUAACUGGGUUUAUUACUGGCAUAUGGUGAACACUUAUCUUAGCAAAUAACUCAGCCCCAUUUUCUGACUAUGAUUUUUUUAAGGACAAACCACGUAGUCCUAUUCUUCAAAAGUGGUGUUUUUAACCUUAAUUAUAAUUAGCUGUAUUUAUCUCAUUUAGAUUAUAGCACAAUUUUCUCCUUGGAAUAUACAUGCAGAAACACAAAAUGAGGGUGACAAAAGUGUCAAACUGGAAUUCAAUAUGAUGAUUAAGCUGUGUUUAAAAUAUUUGUUUCCCUUUUGAUUGCCUUGUUUACACUGUAUACAUAUGGAAUAUGACUGUAAGCCUUCAGCAAUCUUCUCUUUGUCCAACGUGAACACAUAAACCUUUAAAGAUGUACAUGAAAUGGUCACAUGCAAUUUUAAAUUCUUUAAUGUAGAAAAUCCCAAAUUCAUAAACUAAAUUCUUCACGUGAACCUUUGGUAAUAGUAUUUUUAUCUUCUCUAGAAGCACUUUAUUUUUCUUACAUUUUUCCCAGAGAAACCAGUCUUCAUUUCAGUUUAUGUUGUUCAAGAUACAACUCUGGAAAUUUUAUUCUGUGCCACAAACACUUAUAAAAUACUAGGACAAUAAUUUCAAUCAUCGUGUUAGUGUGCAUUUUUUUAACCUUCACAGUAAUAUCCCCUUAACUGUCUUGUAAUUU
ensembl:lincRNA